UAGACAGGUAUCUGAUCUCUACUGUAGUAGGGUUGGAAGGUUAGACAGGUAUCUGAUCUCUACUGUAGUAGGGUUGGAAGGUUAGACAGGUGGUAUGUAUCUGAUCUCUACUGUAGUAGGGUUGGAAGGUUAGACAGGUAUCUGAUCUCUACUGUAGUAGGGUUGGAAGGUUAGACAGGUGGUAUGUAUCUGAUCUCUACUGUAGUAGGGUUGGAAGGUUAGACAGGUGGUAUGUAUCUGAUCUCUACUGUAGUAGGGUUGGAAGGUUAGACAGGUAUCUGAUCUCUACUGUAGUAGGGUUGGAAGGUUAGACAGGUGGUAUGUAUCUGAUCUCUACUGUAGUAGGGUUGGAAGGUUAGACAGGUAUCUGAUCUCUACUGUAGUAGGGUUGGAAGGUUAGACAGGUGGUAUGUAUCUGAUCUCUACUGUAGUAGGGUUGGAAGGU
rnacentral:lncRNA from 1 species